GGGCGAAUAGCUCAGCUGGUAGAGCAUCUGCGUCACAUGCAGGGGGCCACAGGUUCGAGUCCUGUUUCGCCCACCA
rnacentral:tRNA from 1 species